CCCUUAGAUGUUCUGGGCCGCACGCGCGCUACAAUGGUCUUCGCAAACGGAUGCAUUCUCGAAGGAGAAUGCCAAUCUUGGAAUCUAUGCCUUGGUCGGGACAGUUGCUUGCAAUUUUUCGACUCGAACCAGGAAUUCCUUGUAAUCGUGAUUCAUCACAUCACGAUGAAUACGUCCCUGCCCUUUGUACACACCGCCCGUCGCUACUACCGAUUGGAUGGUUUAGUGAGACCCUCGGAUCGGUCCCGACUCGGGGUGGGCUUCUGCCCCGGUCGUGGUUUCGCCGAGAAGACGGUCAAACUUGACUAUCUAGAGGAAGUAAAAGUCGUAACA
rnacentral:rRNA from 1 species